rnacentral:rRNA from 1 species
GACGAACGCUGGCGGCGUGCUUAACACAUGCAAGUCGAACGAAGAGCGAUGGAAGCUUGCUUCUCUCAAUCUUAGUGGCGAACGGGUGAGUAACGCGUAAUCAACCUGCCCUUCAGAGGGGGACAACAGUUGGAAACGACUGCUAAUACCGCAUACGAUCUAAUCUCGGCAUCGAGGAUAGAUGAAAGGUGGCCUCUACAUGUAAGCUAUCACUGAAGGAGGGGAUUGCGUCUGAUUAGCUAGUUGGAGGGGUAACGGCCCACCAAGGCGAUGAUCAGUAGCCGGUCUGAGAGGAUGAACGGCCACAUUGGGACUGAGACACGGCCCAGACUCCUACGGGAGGCAGCAGUGGGGAAUCUUCCGCAAUGGACGAAAGUCUGACGGAGCAACGCCGCGUGAGUGAUGACGGCCUUCGGGUUGUAAAGCUCUGUUAAUCGGGACGAAAGGCCUUCUUGCGAAUAGGGAGAAGGAUUGACGGUACCGGAAUAGAAAGCCACGGCUAACUACGUG